GUUAGAAGUAUUUUAUCUGGAAAAUACUUGAUAAUGGAAAAUGGUCACUUCAGCGAAGAAUCUAUACAAGAUCUUGCGGAGCUGGAAACAAGAAUUCCACUGCAAUUAUGGGUAACUCAGAAGAGUAAUGGCCUUCAAAGUGAAGAAGGGCGCAGUAGUGGGAUUGUUCCUGCUUCAACUCUGCUUUUGGAUGUUUACUGGAAAGAGAUGGAUGCAGAUACUGACUGGGCUAAAAUAAAUGAAACUUUUGAUGGUGUGGAGGAAGGAGAUGAAAGUUCAAG
rnacentral:misc_RNA from 1 species